GUUUCCUUAAAGAAGCCUUGAGUGUGACGGUGAAUCCAGAGAGCUGAGCCUUUCUGUGCAUCAACAGAGCGUUGAAAAGCUCCUGCUGUGAGUUCCAUGUUUGUUCUUUCUCUGCUGUUUUCCUGCAGAUGGACGUCACCUUCACUCCUCGGCUCAUCCAGAUUCUUUUCUCCAUCAGGAGAGUUCCUAGGAAGUCAUGUGACCACAGAGGCUCCUCCUAUGAUGAAGUAUAAACACCCUGAACACUGACUGCUCUCUGCUUCGUCACAGAAACCAACAACACAGACACUUGGACCGGUUUCACCGUCACUGACGUGUUCAGACUGUGAGGCUGUGAGGAAGUGACGGCGUCCUCAGAUCAGAUUGUGUCAGACAGCAGGACUGAGGAGGACCAGGAGCAGCUUCUUCUCCACACAGGAAGCUGGAAAGUGUCUGUAAGUCCAUCUGAACUGAUCCAACAGGUGAGAGUCCUUCCAGAGAAAUCUCUCCAUGUCUGAUCACACUGUGCUGCAUCACUGACUGAUGGUACAGUACA
rnacentral:lncRNA from 1 species